CUUUAUUGGAGAGUUUGAUCCUGGCUCAGGACGAACGCUGGCGGCGUGCCUAAUACAUGCAAGUCGAGCGAAUCAAUGGGAGCUUGCUCCCUGAGAUUAGCGGCGGACGGGUGAGUAACACGUG
rnacentral:rRNA from 1 species